rnacentral:rRNA from 1 species
UAUUGCACAAUGGGCCGAAAGCCUGNUGCAGCAACGCCGCGUGCGCGAAGAAGGCCUUCGGGUCGUAAAGCACUUUUCUGAGAGAUGAGAAAGGACAGUAUCUCAGGAAUAAGUCUCGGCUAACUACGUGCCAGCAGCCGCGGUAAAACGUAGGAGGCAAGCGUUAUCCGGAUUCACNUGGGCGUAAAGCGCGUGCAGGCGGUUCGGUAAGUUGGGCGUGAAAUCUCCUGGCUUAACUGGGAGAGGUCGUCCAAUACUACCGGGCUAGAGAGCAGUAGAGGAAGAUGGAAUUCCCGGUGUAGUGGUGAAAUGCGUAGAUAUCGGGAGGAACACCAGUGGCGAAAGCGAUCUUCUGGACUGUUUCUGACGCUCAGACGCGAAAGCUAGGGUAGUAAACGGGAUUAGAGACCCCGGUAAUCCUAGCCGUAAACGAUGUAAACUUGGCGUCGGUGGCUUAAACACCAUCGGUGCCGCAGCAAACGCGAUAAGUUUACCGCCUGGGGACUACGAUCGCAAGAUUAAAACUCAAAGGAAUUGACGGA